rnacentral:rRNA from 1 species
GAGAGUUCAAGAGGGCGUGAAACCGCUUGGAAGUAAACAGAUGGACCUGACGGAGAGUCACUGGGAUUCAGCCCACUACUGUACCUCAGCCUGCCGGUCGAUCAUCUGACGGCCUGGUGGGUGUUGGUGUGCACAGCGGGUGCAUUUCCUGGUGAUGCGCAUCAGAGCCUGUGACGGUGCUGGACGUACGGUGGACGCUUGCCGGCCAACUUCGGUUGGUGUCCCAGCGCUGCCCGAAACCGAGUCACUGUCAUGGGGCCGUUGUAGGUGCCCGCCCUACUCUAAGCGGCCAUGAGCUUGUCCAGAUCAACAGUGAGGUUGUGCUUGCACGACUUGACGACCCCUGGUUGAGUGAUUGGUCCAUUUGGAGCAGGCGCCUUACUCUGGUGUUUUAGUCAGUCACCCAUCUGACCCGUCUUGAAACACGGACCAAGGAGUCUAACAUGUGCGCGAGUCACUGGGUCGCAAAACCCAAGGGCGCAAUGAAAGUAAAGUCCAGUUUGGCUGGACGACAUGGGACCCUUUCGUUCGGCGGGAGGAGCACCAUGGUCCCGUCUAAACUGCAUCGUCAG